UUUGCAGAAAGGAGGGAGAGAGAGCGUACGAGAAAUCAAGGGUUAUGCUUUCCUCAUAUCUGAAUUGGUUUCCUUUAAACACGUGAUAUACAUAUACCUCAUCACUUUUUAGGUUUUCUUAAUCGCCUCUUCCCAUCGUAGAAACCUAAUUCCAUAACCGUAUACCACAUCUACCUUCAGAUAACAAUUCUUCAUGGAAAUCAUACAGUCCUCUCAAAUUCAAACUCAAGUCUAGGUUUUGAACUUCACGGAGUAAGUGCUUUUCUAGAUUUUGUCCACUUCACGGAGUAAGUGCUUUUCUGGAAUUGCAACCCUAGAAAGAAAAAUUAUAGGAGAACAACGAUCUGAUGUAAGUUUCUUUCUGUAAUCAGACACUAUUUCGUGGCUUUCAAAUUCCAACACAAAAGAAAUCUGGUUUCUUUCACCAUCCCUCUCUCUUGAAAAACCCUAGAUCUGCCUCUGAAUCAUUCAUCUAACAACAAAUCUCACAUAUUUUUGAGUUUUUUUUUUCUCAAACACAGUGGUGGUGAUAACCCCCACGAUAGAAGAUGUCGGAGAUGGCGGUCGUGGGUGGAAACCUAGACGGCUGCGGAGGGUGCCGGUAUUUGCUUUCAGCAAUUCUUCUGUGGAGUUUGGGUGGCUUUUUGUCAAGAUCCAGUGAAAUGGCUAUGAUUUUUGUGUUAAAAGGAAGAAGACGCUGAGACGCUUCUUGGCCACAUGAAAAAUCUGUGGUUCCUCGAAUGUGCCCUGUCUUGAAAGUGUCCCCGUUGCCCUCAGCUCGUAAUUUUCAUAACUGUUUUUCACUAUCAGUGAUUACCACAGCUUCAAACAGCUCUUGUAGGUUGUUUUGUUACAUUUAAUUAUAUGAUUUUGUAAAAGUUGACCGUAUUAUAGUCAACCUGGAAGGAUUCCCCAGAAUCCAGAUAUACCAGAACUUGUAAUUUGGUGUUAGAAUUGUUAAUUACACACCCAAUAUCCAUGGCAGUGUUACUAUAAUUUUAUUUUUUAAAGAAAUUAUCAUGUUGGUUCUAAAGUUUAAAAAUUGAAUAUAUGAUAUUGUGUGAAAGUGUAGUGUGGAAGUCAAUAGCCAUCAUUCUGUAGUCUCGGAAGUCUUUUAUUGCAUUAUAUAUCUGCAUUUUUUUUAAUUUUGUAUCUUUAGCUUGGUUUCACUCCUUCAGGAUCUAAUUUUGAUGUGAUAUUUUCUUAAUUGCAGUGACAUUGUUGGCGGGUAUUGGUGUGGCGGAAAAGGAGCCUGUAACGCGCAAUACUAUGGCUGGUCACCUAAGUAAUAGUCAGGAUGUUGGGCUUCAUGCGAGAACUGUAAGCACCGUAUUGACAGUUGAUAGUGAUAUGAUUGAUGAAGGUGGGAACCCGAUCUGGAAGAACUGAGUUGAAAGUUGGAAAGAUAAGAAGAAAAAGCGGGGCGGUAAGGUUGCUAAAGAAGUUCAAGUGCCUGUUGAUCAACACAUUGAAGAAAAGCAGCAAUCAGCAGACCCGAAUGCAAUGCAGCCACUUUCACAAAUAAUUCCAAUUCCGAAAAGCCAAAUCGCACCCUGUCGGACUGUGAUUAUUCUUCGGUUUAUCAUUUUGGGACUUUUCUUCCAGUACUGAAUCACGAAUCCUGUUGAAAGCUCCUACGGGUUAUGGCUAACUUUUGUUAUUUGUGAGAUCUGGUUUGCUAUAUCAUGGGUUUUAGAUCAGUUCCCUAAAUGGUCUCCAAUUAAUAGAAUUACAUUUAAAGAUGAGCUAUCUGCAAGGUAUGAAAGAGAGGGUGAGCCUUGAGAACUUGCAGCAGUUGAUUUCUUUGUGAGCACAGUUGAUCCAUUGAAAGAACCUCCGCUAAUUAUCGCCAAUACUGUGCUUUUAAUCCUGGGAGAUGAUGAGUUUGAUCUUGAUCCUGAAAACAUAAUGCUCAAGGAAGCCAUCUGGUUGUUUUUUCAGCAUCCAUGGCCCCACAAGCCGAAUACUCAGCUUCAUUCUCAUCCCCUUCCGGUGGACUCGCAUGCUCCGUAGCUGUUCUUGCUGAACGCCAGCAAACGGGAGGUGAAUCCUCAACUAAUUACAACAAUUACAGCGGGAAUCUGUCAACAUACAGCACGCAUUCCAACCGCAGCCAAACGGGGUUAUUAUCACUUGAUAACCAUCUCCAAAUUAAUCACGAGAAUUCAGAAUUUGGGUACACGAGCUGGUUGUCUCAAUAGGGCCUUUGUGUGAUAGUUGAAGCUCUGGAUACCUUGUUAGACUGGUCCAGGGGUUGUUUCAUCAGGAGUCCCUAUGCAUUUAUUGAUCAUCCGCUGGUGUAUGUUUGGACGUCCCGAUAUAUGAUGCCUCGGGCUCUUGGGAGGUGGUAUAUGUACAUCACAUGGACCUACGAGAUCUGGAAACAUCAUGAUUGGAAAAAUCUUCGAAGCAUGCAUCUCUGGGGGUGGGUUGGUUUUCGCUGCUUAUGUUGAAGCUCAAUCUGAAGGCCCAUUUCAGGGUGGGUUGGUUUUCGCUGCUUAUGUUGAAGGCGGGAGCCCAUAAACAUCAUCCGGGCCUGGUUCUUUUGCUUAUUCAGGAAGCCCAAGGCUGGGCUAUCAGGACGUGGAAAUGGGCCCAGGUUCGGGUCCACCAAAUGGGUUCUAAAAUCGUGAGUUAUUGGGCUAUUUUGGAUGUGGGCUACAAAGAUGGAACUGGUCUCCAGCUUGCUUUUGUGCAAAUGUAUCGGCCUUCUACAGCCCUUGUGUGGGAUCGAAAUUUCAGUGAUCAUCGUUAGUUUGUUUUGUUCACAAUUUGUAUAGGGCUAGAUGUGAAUGUACUCCUAGACAAAGGUGUUUUGUUUCUUAUUUUUGGUCCCAAAAUCAUGUUUUGGGGAUGAUACGGGGGUAUGCCUAGAGGUGUACAAAUCGGUUUUUUUCAAAAACCGGUUUUUUUUCAUCCAAAAUGAAAUAUCCUUGC
rnacentral:lncRNA from 1 species